rnacentral:rRNA from 1 species
UCAGGAGGAAUACCGGUGGUGUAGACGGCUCUCUGGACCGUAACUGACACUGAGACACGAAAGCGUGGGUAGCAAACAGGAUUAGAUACCCUGGUAGUCCACGCCCUAAACGAUGCAUAUUUGGUGUAGGCAGUUCAUUCUGUCUGUGCCGGAGCUAACGCGUUAAAUAUGCCGCCUGGGGAGUACAGUCGCAAGGCUGAAACUCAAAGGAAUUGACGGGGGCCCGCACAAGCGGUGGAGCAUGUGGUUCAAUUCGACGCAACGCGAAGAACCUUACCUGGGCUCGAACGGCUCACGAACGUCCUUGGAAACAGGGAUUUCCCGCAAGGGACGGGAGUCGAGGUGCUGCAUGGCUGUUGUCAGCUCGUGUCGUGAGAUGUUGGGUUAAGUCCCGCAACGAGCGCAACCCUUGUCCUGUGUUGCCAUCAUUCAGUUGGGAACUCGCAGGAGACCGCCAGCGAUAAGCUGGAGGAAGGUGGGGAUGACGUCAAGUCCUCAUGGCCUUUAUGUCCAGGGCUACACACGUGCUACAAUGGCCGGUACAAUGCGCUGCUAAGUCGCAAGACGGAGCCAAUCGCAAAAAACCGGUCUCAGUUCGGAUUGCAGGCUGCAACUCGCCUGCAUGAAGCUGGAAUCGCUAGUAAUGGCAUAUCAGAACGAUGCCGUGAAUACGUUCCCGGGCCUUGUACACACCGCCCGUCACAUCACGAAAGUGGAUUGUACUAGAAGUCCGCAGGCUGACCCGCAAGGGGAGCAGCGGCCCAAGGUAUGAUUCAUGAUUGGGGUGAAGUCGUAACAAGGUAGCCGUAGGAGAACC